UGAGAGGAAGGUCCCCCACAUUGGAACUGAGACACGGUCCAAACUCCUACGGGAGGCAGCAGUGGGAAUAGAGGCCACAGGGACGAAUCCUGAACCAGCCAAGUAGCGUGAAGGAUGACUGCCCUAUGGGUUGUAAAAUUCUUUUAUAAGGGAAUAAAGUAUUCCACGUGUGGAAUUUUGUAUUACCAUAUGAAUAAGGAUCG
rnacentral:rRNA from 1 species